AUUGAACGCUGGCGGCAUGCUUUACACAUGCAAGUCGAACGGUAACAGGCCUUCGGGUGCUGACGAGUGGCGAACGGGUGAGUAAUGCAUCGGAACGUGCCCAGAGGUGGGGGAUAACGCAGCGAAAGCUGUGCUAAUACCGCAUGUGAUCUGAGGAUGAAAGCGGGGGACCAGGCAGCAAUGUUUGGCCUCGCGCCUUUGGAGCGGCCGAUGUCAGAUUAGGUAGUUGGUGGGGUAAAGGCCUACCAAGCCGACGAUCUGUAGCUGGUCUGAGAGGACGACCAGCCACACUGGGACUGAGACACGGCCCAGACUCCUACGGGAGGCAGCAGUGGGGAAUUUUGGACAAUGGGCGCAAGCCUGAUCCAGCAAUGCCGCGUGCGGGAAGAAGGCCUUCGGGUUGUAAACCGCUUUUGUACGGAACGAAAAGGCUCUGGCUAAUACCUGGGGCUGAUGACGGUACCGUAAGAAUAAGCACCGGCUCACUACGUGC
rnacentral:rRNA from 1 species